CAAUAGCGUAUAUUAAAGUUGUUGCGGUUAAAAGCUCGUAGUUGGAUUUCUGCCGAGGACGACCGGUCCGCCUCUGGGUGAGUAUCUGGCUUGGCCUGGGCAUCUUCUUGGAGAACGUAGCUGCACUUGACUGUGUGGUGCGGUAUCCAGGACUUUUACUUUUGAGGAAAUUAGAGUGUUUCAAGCAGGCAUGCGCCUUGAAUACAUUAGCAUGGAAUAAUAAGAUAGGACCUCGGUUCUAUUUUGUUGGUUUCUAGAGCUGAGGUAAUGAUUAAUAGGGAUAGUUGGGGCACGUCGUAUUUAACUGUCAGAGGUGAAAUUCUUGGAUUUUGUUAAAAGACGGACUACUGCGAAAGCAUUUGCCAAGGAUGUUUUUUCAUUGAUCAAGAACGAAAGUUAGGGGAUCGAAGACGAUCAGAU
rnacentral:rRNA from 1 species